UUUUUAGCUUCAACAAUGGCUUUUCUAGUGAGAGAAUGGCGAAAGCACAUUCUGCUAGUCAUGUUGGAUUUUUUGCUUGAUUGGGAUCCAAUCAUUGAACUGAAUCAUUGAACUGGGUUGUCAUGCAUUAAUACGUGGUACAUAAAACCAAAUUCCAAAUUCCAAUGACCUUUUGUUUUGGUGCCAUUUUUCUCCCCAUCUAGUUAUUUUAUUUGUUUUGGGGCAUCUUCCUGAUAAACUUAAGGCUCUGAAAUCCUAAAAUUGAUGCCUUUGCAACUGAAUCUUACUCUGUUUGAGUUUCCGUGCCAGCGUAUCUGUCAUCUUCUAUGUAAGAUUCCCGCAUUGGUGGGAUAAGGGAAAGCUAAUGGGGUCAUAUAACUCCUAGCUCAAUUAUUAAUCAAUAAUUUGAAUUUAUUUUGAGCAAAUAGUUUAGAGUCUGAAAACACAUGAGUUGUAACUGCUAAAAUAACUUGCAUUAAUCAAUUAUUGGAGGGAAGAGGGUUAUAACAUAGGUUUUGGGUGCAUAGUACUUGAUGAGAAAAGAUAGGCGAGCAAUUGGCCUCAUCAUUAGCUGUGUGUCGUGUGGUCUCGUUUCUUCAUUAACAAUACUGCAAAUGCAUAAUCCUGUAUCACAAAUCCUAUGCAAGUGAAAGUCUAUUUUCAAAGCCGCUCUCAAAUUGUAGGCAGUAGCCGCGCUAGCUAGAUGGCUACGUAGCUGACUUUUGUAUUGUAAUAUUGCUUAAUUUGAUAUACAUAGGUUCCUUAAUUGUCUUAACCAAAUCCUGCUUUUCAAGAUGUAAUUAUCCCCUUUUUCUUGCUUUUGCAACUUUCAGGAUCGAAUCUUUUAUGCUUCGAGCAAAAAUGGCACCCUAGUUGUUAUUAGUCAUAGAAUGGAUCGACUUGCAUAGUUUUCCUAUCAAUCCUCCUUUUGACAUGCAUUGCAAAUGUUGCAACAUUUUUUAUAUUAUUUUUUCAGCGAGAUUAAUAAGGUUAUCGAAGUCUUUUUCA
rnacentral:misc_RNA from 1 species